UACGUAGGGGGCUAGCGUUGUCCGGAUUUAUUGGGCGUAAAGAGCGUGUAGGCGGCCAGGUAGGUCUGCUGUGAAAACUCGAGGCUCAACCUCGAGACGUCGGCGGAAACCAUCUGGCUAGAGUCCGGAAGAGGAGAGUGGAAUUCCUGGUGUAGCGGUGAAAUGCGCAGAUAUCAGGAAGAACACCCGUGGCGAAGGCGGCUCUCUGGGACGGUACUGACGCUGAGACGCGAAAGCGUGGAGAGCGAACAGG
rnacentral:rRNA from 1 species